rnacentral:tRNA from 1 species
UUCUCCCUGGCGCAAUUGGUUAGCGCGUCCGACUGUUAUCUUCCAAGAUCUGCAAUCGGGAGGUUCUAAGUUCAAGCCUUAGGGGGGAAG